rnacentral:lncRNA from 1 species
AGCAGAGCCGGAGCAAGAACCCCCUGAUUAGUAUUCCUAGAGCUCUGCACUUUUUCAGGAGAGAAGCACCUACAUUUAGCAGCCAGAGUAAAUAUCAGGCCUUAAUAUUGUGUGUUAAUAGACUCGCUUCUGCAGCUACUGAUGACUGUAGUUUUGGAAAAUUUAUUGUUGCUAUAAAACGAGUCUCUCUCUCUCUCUCUUCCCUCUCCCUCUCUCUUCUGCUAAUUGACAAAGAGGCCCAGUAAUUAAAGGACAAUAAAAGUUUUCCAGUAAUUAGUUUCUGUUGUUUGGUUACAGGCCAUCAAUUGUUCUUUAAUAAUACCAAUCGUUAGCAUGCAGUAGUCAGUGGGCUCUCAAAGGCUUCUGGGGCACAACCACUUACCAACACUACACAUUCCAUUCCCAUGAGGGCAUCCUGCAUCCAGCGGGAGAUUAACCCUCUCCUAGGAUGAAGCACUCCUACCCUGCCUUCGUGUUUUGGGGUAAACAGCUCACAUAGCUAAUGACCAGGAGAUGGCAAUUAGGGGAAGGUAAUUAUCUGUACCUGGGGAGGAGCAGGGGGUAGAGCAGCUCACAUGGCUGUGGGGCAGGGCUCUGGCAGCCUGGGGUUCUGCCUCUGGUGGGAGGCUGCCCUUCAGGACGCCCUGCCCUGCUAAAAUUGGUGGCAAAAUAUUCUUUUCAAGAUGGUGCAGGUACCUCAGCAGGCCUGGGUGUCCAGCCUGGACUGAGAUCCCAGCCAAGCUCCUACCACUCACCUGCCUAAUUUUGGGACAGAUGAAUUUGAGGGAAGUAUUUAACUGGCAAAGAAGAAAGUAAAUCCUUCCCUUCCACAAGGUUUUUCAAAGGCACCCUAUUUAUACACCUGACUCUCAGUUCAUUUGAAAGCUGUCUCUCAAAUUAAAUCCUUCUUUGGUUCUGUGAAUGCUGACAAUCUCCACUGGUGUUGCUGUUUUUUUUCAUCACAAGAAUCCUUUGGAAGCUGUGGUUCCUGGAGCUGGGCCCUGCCCAGCAGUGUCAGCCACCAAUUAAAAAAUAAACCUCAGCAUUGCAGAGCA